ACGCGGGCUGUCCGCGGUGCCCACGGUCAAGCCCACAUAAUUUACGUUUGUGGACACCCACGGUUAGAGCAUCGAGAGAUGCGGAUUAUGUGGGCUGUCCUGCGGCGCCCGCAUCAAACCCACAUCUCUUUCAAGUCAGAAUGUCAGUGGUGCGGAUUAGCCGAUUAUGACACGCCGCCAUGGCCGCCCAGCGCCGCUGUCCAACUCAGCCAUGGACGCCGUAAUGUCGUCGUCAACCUUCGCCAAGUACAGAGCAGAGCCGAUUCAUUCCACCUUGUUGAAUCACAUAUCAUCUGCGGCCUAAUAAUGCGAGUCAGCGGUUGUGGUAUCUUCCCUCCUCAUCUAAUCCUCCUUGAUUUCUUCUUCUCUGAAGAACGUCAUGAAGAAGCUUCGCUGCUUCAAGGAACAGCAGCUGCAGACAAGCAGAUUGCACUCUGCUCACCUCUUAUUUUGAGCUUAUAACAGUGGCACUUCUAAUAUCAUUUUCGAUGUGACUCAUCUACUGAAGGGACACCCGCCGAAGCACUGAGCUGCGACUUCGUAGAGGCAGAGGAUUGCCACUCCCAUAUAAACAAAAGUACUACAAAAAAGAUGUAAUUUGCAGUGCCAACUCCGAAGAUUCUUCACCUGAUAAUGAAGCCUGAACUUCUCUGC